rnacentral:rRNA from 1 species
UGCAGUCGAGCGGACAGAUGGGAGCUUGCUCCCUGAUGUUAGCGGCGGACGGGUGAGUAACACGUGGGUAACCUGCCUGUAAGACUGGGAUAACUCCGGGAAACCGGGGCUAAUACCGGAUGGUUGUUUGAACCGCAUGGUUCAAACAUAAAAGGUGGCUUCGGCUACCACUUACAGAUGGACCCGCGGCGCAUUAGCUAGUUGGUGAGGUAACGGCUCACCAAGGCAACGAUGCGUAGCCGACCUGAGAGGGUGAUCGGCCACACUGGGACUGAGACACGGCCCAGACUCCUACGGGAGGCAGCAGUAGGGAAUCUUCCGCAAUGGACGAAAGUCUGACGGAGCAACGCCGCGUGAGUGAUGAAGGUUUUCGGAUCGUAAAGCUCUGUUGUUAGGGAAGAACAAGUACCGUUCGAAUAGGGCGGUACCUUGACGGUACCUAACCAGAAAGCCACGGCUAACUACGUGCCAGCAGCCGCGGUAAUACGUAGGUGGCAAGCGUUGUCCGGAAUUAUUGGGCGUAAAGGGCUCGCAGGCGGUUUCUUAAGUCUGAUGUGAAAGCCCCCGGCUCAACCGGGGAGGGUCAUUGGAAACUGGGGAACUUGAGUGCAGAAGAGGAGAGUGGAAUUCCACGUGUAGCGGUGAAAUGCGUAGAGAUGUGGAGGAACACCAGUGGCGAAGGCGACUCUCUGGUCUGUAACUGACGCUGAGGAGCGAAAGCGUGGGGAGCGAACAGGAUUAGAUACCCUGGUAGUCCACGCCGUAAACGAUGAGUGCUAAGUGUUAGGGGGUUUCCGCCCCUUAGUGCUGCAGCUAACGCAUUAAGCACUCCGCCUGGGGAGUACGGUCGGCAGACUGAAACUCAA